rnacentral:rRNA from 1 species
CCUACGGGAGACAGCAGUGAGGAAUAUUGGUCAAUGGACGAGAGUCUGAACCAGCCAAGUAGCGUGAAGGAUGACUGCCCUAUGGGUUGUAAACUUCUUUUAUAUGGGAAUAAAAUGUUCCACGUGUGGGAUUUUGUAUGUACCAUAUGAAUAAGGAUCGGCUAACUCCGUGCCAGCAGCCGCGGUAAUACGGAGGAUCCGAGCGUUAUCCGUAUUUAUUGGGUUUAAAGGGAGCGUAGGUGGAUUGUUAAGUCAGUUGUGAAAGUUUGCGGCUCAACCGUAAAAUUGCAGUUGAAACUGGCAGUCUUGAGUACAGUAGAGGUGGGCGGAAUUCGUGGUGUAGCGGUGAAAUGCUUAGAUAUCACGAAGAACUCCGAUUGCGAAGGCAGUUCACUGGACUGCAACUGACACUGAGGCUCGAAAGUGUGGGUAUCAAACAGGAUUAGAUACCCUUGUAGUC